AAUGAACGCUAGCGGGAUGCUUUACACAUGCAAGUCGAACGAGUGGCGGACGGGUGAGUAAUAUUACGGAACUUGCCCAGUCUCGGGGGUUAACUACUCGAAAGAGUGGCUAUUACCGCAUACUUUUGGAGCGGCGGAUAUCGGAUGAGCCAGUUGGUGGGGUAAAGGCUGACCAAGGCAACGAUCCGUAGCUGGUUUGCGAGGACGACCAGCGACACUGGGACUGAGACACGGCCCAGACUCCUACGGGAGGCAGCAGUGGGGAAUUUUGGGCAAUGGGCGAAACCCUGAUACAGCCAUCGCGCGGGUAUGAGAAGGCCUUCGGGUUGUAAAGGACUUUUGGCAGAGAAGCGGUAUCUGGAGAAUAAGCACCGGCUAACUACGUGCCAGCAGCCGCGGUAAUAC
rnacentral:rRNA from 1 species